rnacentral:lncRNA from 1 species
UAGAUUAGCGAUCGAGGCUGUGACUUGGCCAGUUUGAGGAAAGAUUUCUCCAGCUGUGUCUUCGUUGGCCUUUAGCUUUUUGACAUAGCUAUCAUCAAAAGUCACGUAGUAAGUUUCUUCUAUUUUCCUCGAACGCUUGUUUAAUAACCUAUACGCUUUAGAGGUGAGAGAAUAGCCCAGAAAUAUCCCUUCGUCGGCUUUGACAUCGAACUUGUUGCGGUGUUCUUUAGAAUUGAAAAUGAAACACCGGGAACCGAACACAUGGAAAAACUUCACAUUUGGCUUCUUGUUGUUGAUGAUCUCAUAAGGAGUGAGAGUGAAGCGCUUGUUGAGAUACGACCUGUUCUAUGUAAAAUAAGCAGCAGAAAUAGCAUCAGCCCAAAAAUAUAAAGGUAAGGAAGCGAAACUCAGCAUGGUUCGGGCAGCUUCACAGAGGGAUCUGUUUCGUCUUUCGACAAUUCCGUUCUGUUGAGAUGUGUAGGGAGCUGAGAAGUUGUGAUUGAUUCCCUUUUCUGCCAGGAAUUCUUCGAAUUCUCUAUUUUUGAACUCCAAUCCAUUGUCGCUUCUGAUGUUGCGAACGACCUUCUUCAGUUGUACUUCAAUCUGCUUGAUGAACACUUUUAGCUUGUGAGUCGCUUCAGAUUUAAGCUUCAGAAAGAACACCCAUGUAAAACGCGAAAAGUCAUCAACAAUAACAAGAAUAUACUUGCUACCACCGAUGCUUUCGAUAGAUGAUGGACCACACAAAUCAAUAUGAAGUAAUUCUAGUGGUUCAACAACUUUAGUGUUUAUUAUAGAUGGAUGACUUUGACGACUCUGCUUCCCCAUUUCACAUGCAGCACACAAAUGAUCUCUAUCAUACUUGAGCAAUGGAAGACCUCGAACAUGACCUCCAGUAACAAGUUUGUUGAUAUCUUUAAAGUUGAGAUGAGAGAGUCUUCGGUGCCACAGCCAGCUUUCGUCAGAUUGUGCUUUGGAUAACAGGCAGAUAGCUGGGUUUCCUUUGAUGGGUUUGAGGUUUAAAGGAAACAUUUCGCCUUUACGCUCCGAUUUGAGAAUAACUCUUUUCGUCUUCUUCUCAAUUAUUUCNGGAUGGGUUUCCUUUAAUGGGUUGGAGGUUUAAAGGAAACAUUUCGCCUUUACGGUUUGAUUUGAGAAUAACUCUUUUCGUCUUCUUCUCAAUUAUUUCAG